rnacentral:rRNA from 1 species
AGUGAACGCUGGCGGUAGGCCUAACACAUGCAAGUCGAACGGCAGCACAGGGGAGCUUGCUCUCUGGGUGGCGAGUGGCGGACGGGUGAGGAAUACAUCGGAAUCUACUCUGUCGUGGGGGAUAACGUAGGGAAACUUACGCUAAUACCGCAUACGACCUACGGGUGAAAGCAUGGGACCUUCGGGCCUUGCGCGAUUGAAUGAGCCGAUGUCGGAUUAGCUAGUUGGCGGGGUAAAGGCCCACCAAGGCGACGAUCCGUAGCUGGUCUGAGAGGAUGAUCAGCCACACUGGAACUGAGACACGGUCCAGACUCCUACGGGAGGCAGCAGUGGGGGAUAUUGGACAAUGGGCGCAAGCCUGAUCCAGCCAUACCGCGUGGGUGAAGAAGGCCUUCGGGUUGUAAAGCCCUUUUGUUGGGAAAGAAAUCCAGCUGGCUAAUACCCGGUUGGGAUGACGGUACCCAAAGAAUAAGCACCGGCUAACUUCGUGCCAGCCGCCGCCGUAA